AUACGGAGGGUGCAAGCGUUAUUCGGAAUUACUGGGCGUAAAGCGUACGUAGGCGGUUAUUUAAGUCAGAUGUGAAAGCCCCGGGCUUAACUUGGGAACUGCAUUUGAAACUGGUUAACUAGAGUUUAGUAGAGGGGAGUGGAAUUUCAGGUGUAGCGGUGAAAUGCGUAGAGAUCUGAAGGAACACCAGUGGCGAAGGCGACUCCCUGGACUAAAACUGACGCUGAGGUACGAAAGCGUGGGUAGCAAACAGGAUUAGAAACCCUAGUAGUCC
rnacentral:rRNA from 1 species